rnacentral:misc_RNA from 1 species
UUUCCGUAGGUGAACCUGCGGAAGGAUCAUUAUUGUAUAACCGAGGUGCGAGGGCUGUCGCUGACCCGAAAGGGCGUGCACGCCCGAGUGCCCUCACACACAUCCAUCUCAACCCUAUUUGCACCACCGCGUGGGUCCCCCUUUGGCUUGUUCGGAGGGGGGCUUACGUUUUCACACAAACUUUGUAUGCAGUGUAGAAUGUAUUUUUUGUUUUUGCGAUCACGCAAUCAAUACAACUUUCAACAACGGAUCUCUUGGCUCUC